AUUUGACCUGUGAUGUUUCCUAAGUGAGGAUUUUGCUGACUACGUACUUAUGGUGCCGCUCUCCAUUUUCCUCCAUCUUCUGUACGUCCUGCAAAUUGGCAGCUGAGUCCAGCAGCUUGAUCAGACUCAGAUUUCAUUCCUUUGGCAAAAACGGUCUGGGCAAGGGAGAGGUGGAACGGGGACUCCUGAUCCAGCUCAGCCAGAGCCACUCAAGGAGCAGUGACAGGAAAAGACUCACCUUGUCUUAGUCCACUUGGGCUGCUGUAACCGAAUACCACAGGCUGCGUGGCUCAUAGGCAAGAGACAUUAAUUUCUCACAGUUCUGUUGUAAAU
rnacentral:lncRNA from 1 species